AUUGAACGCUGGCGGCAGGCCUAACACAUGCAAGUCAAGCGGAUGAAGGGAGCUUGCUCCUGGAUUCAGCGGCGGACGGGUGAGUAAUGCCUAGGAAUCUGCCUGGUAGUGGGGGAUAACGUCCGGAAACGGGCGCUAAUACCGCAUACGUCCUGAGGGAGAAAGUGGGGGAUCUUCGGACCUCACGCUAUCAGAUGAGCCUAGGUCGGAUUAGCUAGUUGGUGGGGUAAAGGCCUACCAAGGCGACGAUCCGUAACUGGUCUGAGAGGAUGAUCAGUCACACUGGAACUGAGACACGGUCCAGACUCCUACGGGAGGCAGCAGUGGGGAAUAUUGGACAAUGGGCGAAAGCCUGAUCCAGCCAUGCCGCGUGUGUGAAGAAGGUCUUCGGAUUGUAAAGCACUUUAAGUUGGGAGGAAGGGCAGUAAGUUAAUACCUUGCUGUUUUGACGGUACCAACAGAAUAAGCACCGGCUAACUUCGUG
rnacentral:rRNA from 1 species